AAGUAUUUAAAUCCACGUGAUGUUUGGUAACCCAAAGACUUUAUGCUUUCAAUGAAGAUUAUGCCAUCUGUUGUCUGGACAAUCAUAUCAGGAAAGUGAGUUCACAGAUGACCUCUCGACUUGUUGAUAGUAAAUUUACUGUUCAAAUGUCUUUUAAACUUGUCACGUGUCCUAACACGGAUAAGUUUAAAACAUCUAACAUUUAAACAUUUAAUUUUAAUGAAUUGCUAGAUUUUCCUCCUCAUUCGAGAUGAUAUGCUCGCUUUUCAUUCUUCC
rnacentral:lncRNA from 1 species